rnacentral:misc_RNA from 1 species
UAUUACUUUGUGUCUCUUAGUCAACCUGAUCUGGUCCAUGUUCGUGGGGAGGGCAUCAUGGGCAUGUCCACACCAAUGUCCACACCCUGUCCACCCCAUAUCCCUCCCCCCGCACUCGCCCAUGCUGUCGCACAGACCAAAGCAGGCACUCCCGCACCCACUCCCUCAUAUCGGUGCACCAUCCAGCACACCCCCCACUAAUGAUCCUUCCGCAGGUUCACCUACGGAAA